rnacentral:rRNA from 1 species
CGAAAGCCUGACGGAGCAAUACCGCGUGAGGGAGGAAGGCUCUUGGGUUGUAAACCUCUUUUCUCAGGGAAUAAAAAAAUAAAGGUACCUGAGGAAUAAGCAUCGGCUAACUCCGUGCCAGCAGCCGCGGUAAUACGGAGGAUGCAAGCGUUAUCCGGAAUGAUUGGGCGUAAAGGGUCCGCAGGUGGCAAUGUGUGUCUGCUGUCAAAGAAUGAGGCUUAACCUCAUCAAGGCAGUGGAAACUACAUAGCUAGAGUACGGUCGGGGUAGAAGGAAUUCCUGGUGUAGCGGUGAAAUGCGUAGAGAUCAGGAAGAACACCGGUGGCGAAAGCGUUCUGCUAGACCUGUACUGACACUGAGGGACGAAAGCUAGGGGAGCG